UACGUAGGGUGCAAGCGUUGUCCGGAAUUAUUGGGCGUAAAGAGCUCGUAGGCGGUCUGUCACGUCGGCUGUGAAAUCCCGAGGCUCAACCUCGGGUCUGCAGUCGAUACGAGCAAACUAGAGUGUUGCAGGGGAGACUGGAAUUCCUGGUGUAGCGGUGAAUGCGCAGAUAUCAGGAGGAACACCGGUGGCGAAGGCGGGUCUCUGG
rnacentral:rRNA from 1 species